CUGAGAGGGUGACCGGCCACAUUGGGACUGAGACACGGCCCAAACUCCUACGGGAGGCAGCAGUGGGGAAUAUUGCACAAUGGGGGAAACCCUGAUGCAGCGACGCCGCGUGAAGGGAUGAAGUAUUUCGGUAUGUAAACUUCUAUCAGCAAGGAAGAAAAUGACGGUACCUGACUAAGAAGCCCCGGCUAACUACGUGCCAGCAGC
rnacentral:rRNA from 1 species